GAUGAAGAACGUAGCGAAAUGCGAUAAGUAAUGUGAAUUGCAGAAUUCAGUGUAUCAUCGAAUCUUUGAACGCACAUUGCGCCCGCCAGUAUUCUGGCGGGCAUGCCUGUUCGAGCGUCAUUACAACCCUCAGGCCCCCGGGCCUGGCGUUGGGGAUCGGCGGAGCCCCCCGUGGGCACACGCCGUCCCCCAAAUACAGUGGCGGUCCCGCCGCAGCUUCCAUCGCGUAGUAGCUAACACCUCGCGACUGGAGAGCGGCGCGGCCACGCCGUAAAACACCCAACUCUUCUGAAGUUGACCUCGAAUCAGGUAGGAAUACCCGCUGAACUUAAGCAUAUCAAUAAGCGGAGGA
rnacentral:misc_RNA from 1 species